CGACAAUUGCGGACGUGAAAAGUCGAUACAGCGGCGUUGUAUCUGCACAACAAAUUUUUAUACCUACCCAUAUUUCAUAUUUCGUAUAUUUUAUUUACAAGUGGUGUUCCAUUGGAGCGACGACGAGCGCUCUACUCCGUGCUGAGUCGGUAUCAAAUACUCGGUUGAAUCGUGUUACAGUUUCGAAUUGAAAAAAAAGACAAUAACAAUAACAAUAGCAAUUACCGAAAAGAAAUUAUGCUGCUGAAUUUUGUGAAAUAAAUGCAUAAUAAAAGCAAUAACAAUAGCUGCAACGGGCAUAGCGUAGCAACAAUUGCUAGUGAAAAACGAAAACAAACACACACAAACAAAAAAAAAACAAGAAACGGUGAGGGCUUCAAAAAAGUUGCUUAAGUCACCGGAAGAUGUGAGAAUAAAUACAAAAUUAUGAAUACAAAUUAAGACACGAAGGAUUGUUGCUGUCCAUUCAAUUCGGAACGAAAUAACAAAUCAUCAAACAAGCAAAAUCGGUCAUGCAAUUGUGUUUAGGCCAUUCCGUGUGUGUUUCCGCUGCUGCUUCAUCAACUGUUUUUGGGUUUCAACAUCACAAUUCGUGAUUUGGCUAACGAUUGCGCGUGCAAAUUUAUGGAAUGUAAUUAAAACAAAUAUCUAGAUUUAAUACGUGAAAUUGAACAAGUUUAUUAAACAAGUAGCAAAUUUCAAAAAAAACAAAAAAAAAUCAAACAAAAUAUUUGGUACAAAUUCAAAACGAGAAUUAAGUGAAUUUUUAGUGCAGAAAUAAGUAAGAAACAAAUGAUUUUUCUUUCACUAGAGCAAAGUAAAUAAAACGCUUUUGAUUUUCAAUAGCUGUGCAUCGCGCUGAAAGUGAAUACUACUUAUACGCAUACAUAUGCACAUACAUACAUAUGCAUGUAUAAGUAGAGUGUAAUGCAUGCACGUACACGCACGAGUGUAUACAGUUGCUAAUAACGAGGAAGACGUGAACAGGUGCGCGAAUGAGAGUGAAAAACCACCGUCCAUUGCGGAACUUUGAGGUAUCUACUUUCGAACAACAACUACAAUAGAAAAAAAAAAUUAAAUAAAAUAAAUAAAAAAUACGCGCAAAUAUCUGCACGCGAAUAUUUUGUAUUGAAUGCUUGGUGUGCUACAGCCACAGCUUCAGUUUCAGUGCCCGCAGAACAACGGUGCUGAGCAACUAACAGCAUCUUCAACAACACCGAAAGCUUAACAGGCAAGAAACAGCAAACGAAAUAAAAUAAAAUAACAGCAACAGCAACAGAAUGGAUACCACAUCGACCAGCACUGCCGAUACGGCUAACAGCAGCGGCAACAGCUCAGAUGCCAAUUUAUCGUUUUGUUUCGUACGGGUAAGCGUUGUAUAUGAUUGACGUCAUAUUUUUGGGGGUUUUGUAACAAAAAGUAUUUUACUGUAAGUAAAAAAUAUUUAUCCUGAAUACAAAAAAUAUGCAGAUUUCACAUGACUCAGAUAUUGAAUUUGAUUUCAAUUUGUCCAUAGUAGUGGAAGAAAGUGGAUGGGGUAAGAAGAGUGAAUAGGUGGGUUUGUAUUUCUACGCCCACUUUUAGUUACCGAUUAAAAUUGAGUGGGUUUAGUACUGCAACCUGAAGGAUCUAUUGUGCUCCCUUCAUUGAUUCAGAAAAUUUCGCUGAGUUGAUAAAUGUAUUGGCUGGGGUUUUAUAUUUGAUAACGAGAGCCAGUGAAUCUCUGCAGAGAUGGGUCGAAUCUAUACGGGGGCAUUGGAGUACUUGUUUUCUCUCAUCAAAUUCAAUAUCGCAGAUACAUUUACAGUCCUUCCGGACACUGAAAUGCUUCUUAGGCAGAGAAGGCUUCUUAAAGAAAUUAGAUGUUUAGAUGAGGUGUUGCAUUUGAAAAUGAGGCAACCAAUAAAUUUAUUCACACAUGGGCCGAAGUUGGACGAGAGUAUUAGAAGCGCUGCAUUCUCUUAUGAACAUGAAUAUGACUCGAAAAUUAGGGCCUAUACACAAUUUCUUUCUGCCAGCCAGCCAGUCUAGACUUUGGAUUCCUGGACAGACAUAAGACAUAUCCUUAAUAAGUUGGAAGGCCUCAGGAAUGUGGAAUUCAAGAAUCUUCUCAAGUUUUUGAUCAUUUCAAAUGGGUUUUAGAAGAAAUGAAUGAAUGUUCGAAUGCGGCAUCGCAAUCGGCUAUGUGGCCAAGUGUGUUCAAUAGUAGACAACCUGUACUACCUAAUCUAACGUAGAAUCGUUAAGGGUCCGUCAGUCCUUUGCCGUUGCUCUUAAAUACGUAAAUUUCGAGUCAACUCAGUCAUCAAUGAGCAGUUAGCAAUAAAUGCCCUUACCGUUCCUUGUACCUUACUUUUAGUUUUUAAGUUUUUGGGAAAAUGAGUAGGCGAAAUCAUCAAUUUUUCUGGCUUUGUGAGAUUGAGAGUUCUAAGUAUCGUUUCCUAUUUCAUUGACGCCUCUUAUAAGCAGACAAAUUAAACGUAACGAAUAAAUAACGCUCUCGGUGGGUAAGACCACUUUAUGGAAUACUAACUGUAGUCCAACCUGAUACCUGUUUACAAUGCCUGGCACAGCUUGUGCAUAUGAACUCUAAGUUUUGUCAGGUCAUCCAAACUAAGCUAAAGAAUAGCUUUUAAUUUUUUUUUUUUAAUCUGCAAAAGGAUUUGGUAGUUUUUUUUUAAAGUAGUUGGCACGAAUUCGGCUCUAGAUAAAAUUUCCGAUGUGGGAUUCGAAGAAUUCUAAGCAUUUUGAAUGGGGUAAGUAUGUGGGGCCAUACUUGGAAACAAAGCUUUUUGGCUCCAAGACUUAAAAUCGUAAGAGAGCUGAAUGACAUUUGGACGGUGACUCCAGAAGUUUGCUGGCAAUGGUCUUUCAAUCGGAAGCCUUUGUAAAACUUAAAACAGCAAACUGGAUAGUUUGCGAAGAGCUUCAAAUCAAGGUAAUCAGUGAUAGUCAAACUGUUCUAAAGGCCUUAAAAGCCGCGCGCACCUUUUCAAAAAUAGUACAGGAAAGUAAGUUGAGGUUGAACUCCGCUGUAAGUUGGAAUGAGCUUGAACUAAUAUGGGUGUCAGGAGACUCUGGUGUGCAAUGCAAGGGACUGACUGUUGAAUUAAUGAACUACGGUUCUUUGCAGCAGGGGUCAACUAUAGCAAGAAGAGUCGGACAUAUCAGAGUCUGCAUUAAUAAAGUCCAUGAAAAUAGUCGGUGCACUACUGAAGCCUGCAAAAAGAGGGAGUGUGUCUUGAAAAGGCCUGACAGAGUGACCUUUGUACAGUGACCUCAUGAGUACAAUGCAUGAUCAUCAAAGGUGCCAUCGACGAUCCACGGUGUACAACUUGUUUAGAGGAUAAUAAUAGUACUGAGCGCUUUCUCUGUCGCUUUCCGGCUUUUGCCAGACAUAGAUACUACAUUUUUGGGCCGGGUGUAUUGGGAAUGGAUGAGCUAGAUUCACUUUGACUCAAAAAACUGUUGCGAUUCAUAAUUUAGCUUGUGAAGUUUGCUGAGUUGCAAUGAAUUCCUGUCCCAACUGUCUCUCUCUAACAAUUAAAUCCUCUGUCUAGGCCUUAAGUACAAUGGGCUUGAGUCCUUUCUAAAACUUCCGACCAUCCACAACUCCAUUACACUACAUUCUUGCUAUUUACUCUGAAAGCAUACACACACAUAUAAGCACAUAGUCGUGUGCUGCUUGUCAUUUUUGGUGCUAUAAAGGCGGAAGAUGCUGUUCAAAUUAUUUAACUCCUAUUGCCUAUCCACGGCAAUUAAUUAAUUCAACCCAUUAAAGUCUAGUCAAACUUUCUACAUAUGAAUUUGGACAUAAAUUCGGAUAAAAGAUGAUAAAUAAAAUAGAGCAAAGCUUGAAGCUCUUUAAGUAAUCGGAGCUCAGAUUUUGAGACGAAUUUUGAAAUUGUGUUAAUUUUAUGGCCUUCAAAUUGCUUACCAAAAUCAUUAUAAAUACGAUUUUCAAACACACGCAUAUAUUUGAAUAUUAAUAACUGUAUGCUGUAUGCUGAAACUUGAAAUAGGAAGAGGAACAACAAUAAAAACAUUGCCACAAAGCGUGUGAUAACAAAACAACUUUGGUGACCGCAAUAAAAUUCAAGCGCGUAUUUCGUCCGCGCCACCAACAAUGCUACCAAAUAUUGUAUACAAAUACUCAAAAGCAAUAAUAAAAAUACCUUGGCAACUAAAAAUGUUUGUUUGAAUGCAUUUAUGUCUAGUCUCGGCGCAAACCGGUAAACGUUUGUAGAUCCAUCACAAAAACAGAAGAUAUGAGGUUGUCUACACGUAGACUCGACAUGCGAGCGAAAUUGGGCACAUCAUUGGGAAAAGUUAAUGCCCUGCAGCUUUGUUAAGCUGCUACUAAAACAUACCAGACUAAGGCAAGCCGCAUUAAAUAUUUAAUCAAGAAGAUUAUUAAUACACAGGCCCUCAAAUAUGAUGUGUGUUUGUGUCUAUGUGUUUUCACAAACCGCAGCUAAAUAGAUUAAGUUGGUAAAUUUCGCAGUCUUGGCGGACUUUUCAUUUUGUGAUUUCGUUUGAUUGAUCACUUCUACUAAGUGAAAUAAAACAUAAUUAAUUCUGAAUGAUUUAAUGAAAUGUGUGAAAGAUUCGCUUUGCUUUCAUGAGAAUUUCUUCUUUCUCUACAGGCUCCGAUCAUAAUUUUUAUAAAUGAGAAUAAAUUUUGUUCAUUUUGAUGGCAGCUCAAAUAAUGGGUUGGGCUAUUUCGCCUGACAUUCAAAGUUAUUAGUUUUCAUUCUUAUUCAAAGGUUAUUUUAGAUAAGUAUUGGAUUUUAUGUGACUCUAAGCUCAGUUUUGUAGAAUUACACAAAAGCAUAUUUAUGAGCGGACGUUGGCCUCCAGCUUACAAGGCUUUUGAUAGAAGGGAGGUGAGGCGGUGUGAAUCAGAUUGAUUCAAAUAAUGCUGAAAAAUUAUAGAAAUUAGUGUUCUUAGUUGGCUUAGUGAGGCAGAAUUUGUUCCAGUUGGAUAUUUGGGUAUGUAAAUAAAAAAAUAUGUUUACACUUGUGUGCAAAAUAAUAGGAGCGCGCCGAAUGACCAAGUUUUCAAAAUUUUGUAUAUUCUAAAAUUAACAAAAAUGUAACAAAUUAAAAAAAAAAAGUAUUAAAAUUUUUAGAAUUUUCUAAAGAAAAAUCGGAGUUUGCAGUUUUAUUAGUUUUCUAAAGAAAAGUCUGAGUUCAUAGUUUUAUAGUACAUUCAAUUUUAGGAUGAGGAUUUUGUUUAGCUCAAAGUUCCAAACUUUGUACGAAAUUCUCAAAAAUUUAACAAAUUUCUAAAAAAGAAAAAUUCAUAAAAAUUUCUAGAAUUUUUCUAAAGAAAAAUCGGAGCUUGCAGUUUUAUAGUCCAUUCAAUUUUAGUG